UUAAUUUUACAACUUUUUCGUAAAUAAAUUCUCACACGAAUCCCCGAAGUAAAAUAUACUUUAAUUUAAUCAUUAUAAUUUCUGCAUUUAAAUCAGAGAAUUACCCAUCUUUUUCCUUGCAGAUUGCCACACCUGUUCCUGGGCUUUGUGCUUUGUUGAACUUUGUAUAUAUACAUAUUGGAUGUAUCCACAUACUCUUAUAGUGACCACUGGAAGGCAUUCUUGAACGCAAACUCUGGGUUAUCAUAGAGAACAAAAACCUUUUCUCUGGCCACGAUGCCAACAUGCGGCGGCUUGAGGAGUAGUCUUGGGAUCUUCCUACGUAAAGGAACCUCGAAGAAAGCAGUUUUAAGAUACUAGAACAAGGGUAUCGGUCACAAAAAGGCGUGGAACAUCGCCUGCAUGGUCCAGAAUGUGCUAAGUGCGUUCAUAGAUUGCCUCUCCUGCCAUUUUAUUAUCUGUAAUUCCAUUUCAGUGUCAAUAGAACAGAGCUGGAUGACAAUCUAAAAUAUGAAAAAUGUAUAUUGCAAGAAACAAAAAUAUAAGUUAAAACUUGUAAUACUUUAGAACUAAAUCCGUUUGUAAAUUGAAAACUUAUUUUGAGUGCAUUUCUAGCUCUUUUAUCAUCGUCGCCUGCUAUUCCGAUCACAAUACGUCACGACCAGAUCGGCCCACAAAUCUUUAUUUGCAGACGUACAUAUCUAUGUUUUAGAGGUGAUUUUUACAAGAUUUUACAAGCCAAAAACUGCUGGAAAUCGUGGCAUCCUUUUGUGGCUGUGCUAACUCUUUCAAAAAACAUCAGGCAGUCUUUUGGGCUGACUAACAUGACCUUGUUUUGAAAGGUGGGUGUUGCCGAAAAGGCAAUAUCCUUAAUUGUCCCUAAGGAUCUGGGAUACUCUCUCGAUCCUAAGGAGCCGUGGCACGCCCUGAUCGGACUUAAAAUGACGGACUUUCGACGAUGGUUAAAUCCAUCAUGAUUUAAUUAUUUACAAUGCCAAAAGAUCAGACGCUAUAUCUCGGCCAAGUAGGCCCAGAUCGGUGAAGGACCUAAGUCCUCGUCCUGUCCUGGCUGUCUUGCUGCGGGCCAUAGCCAUGAUGCCGCUGCUGUAUCGUUGAGUCAAUAAUGUGGCGUUGGCGUCGUUUCCACUGCAGCAGGGGCCAGUGAUGGAUGGUGGUCUGGUUGAUUCAAGUCCACGGGAAAUAUCAGUACCCCCUCAUUCGUACGUCGCCGAAUCAAACGCUGGACCUUUGCUUUAAGACGCAGAACUUAUGUACCCUACGCUUUCCUCCGCCAGACGGAGUCCUGUCUAAGCAUUACCGAGGCGCAUUCGAGACAGACCGAGGCCUAUUCCAGCCAGAGAGAAUCGUAACCCAGCAGAACAGAACCGCACCCUUUUCAAGAUCCGAACAUAACAAGUCAUCGUCAUCCUUCGACCUGGCCAUCGACAACUAUCUCAAGGACUUUGGCUAUGGCAACCAAGACAGAAACUACGUGGACUUCUAGACUCUAGAUAUGUAUAUCACGUAGUUGUUAGGUUUAAGGAUAUGCAUUUAGA
rnacentral:misc_RNA from 1 species